rnacentral:rRNA from 1 species
AGUGAAUAGAUACCCUGGUAGUCCCAGCUGUAAACGAUGCGCGUUAGGUGUAUCGGUGACCACGAGUCACCGAGGUGCCGAAGAGAAAUCGUGAAACGUGCCGCCUGGGAAGUACGGUCGCAAGGCUGAAACUUAAAGGAAUUGGCGGGGGAGCACCACAACAGGUGGAGCCUGCGGUUUAAUCGGACUCAACGCCGGGAAGCUCACCGGAUAAGACAGCUGAAUGAUAGCCGGGUUGAAGACUCUGCUUGACUAGCUGAGAGGAGGUGCAUGGCCGUCGUCAGUUCGUACUGUGAAGCAUCCUGUUAAGUCAGGCAACGAGCGAGACCCACGCCAACAGUUGCCAGCAUGUCCUCCGGGAUGGUGGGGACACUGUUGGGACCGCCUCUGCUAAAGAGGAGGAAGGAAUGGGCAACGGUAGGUCAGCAUGCCCCGAAUUAUCCGGGCUACACGCGGGCUACAAUGGUCAGGACAAUGGGUAUCAACACCGAAAGGUGAAGGCAAUCUCCUAAACCUGUCCUUAGUUCGGAUU